AGUGAACGCUGGCGGUAGGCCUAACACAUGCAAGUCGAACGGCAGCACAGUAAGAGCUUGCUCUUACGGGUGGCGAGUGGCGGACGGGUGAGGAAUACAUCGGAAUCUACUUUUUCGUGGGGGAUAACGUAGGGAAACUUACGCUAAUACCGCAUACGACCUACGGGUGAAAGCAGGGGAUCUUCGGACCUUGCGCGAUUGAAUGAGCCGAUGUCGGAUUAGCUAGUUGGCGGGGUGAAGGCCCACCAAGGCGACGAUCCGUAGCUGGUCUGAGAGGAUGAUUAGCCACACUGGAACUGAGACACGGUCCAGACUCCUACGGGAGGCAGCAGUGGGGAAUAUUGGACAAUGGGCGCAAGCCUGAUCCAGCCAUACCGCGUGGGUGAAGAAGGCCUUCGGGUUGUAAAGCCCUUUUGUUGGGAAAGAAAAGCAGCAGGUUAAUACCCCGCUGUUCUGACGGUACCCAAAGAAUAAGCACCGGCUAACUUCGUG
rnacentral:rRNA from 1 species